GCCGGAGUUACAUCGGAACUGCAAAAUCACAAGCCAAAAUGGCGGUAUUUCUCGGAAUUGUUCGUCCUCCUUCCCAUUCACUCUUUUCUAUCACUCGUUUCACUCGUCAAUUUUCUUUCACCAAUAACAAUUCAAUCUCCAUAUCUAGAAAAAGUUUUUCUCGAUUCAAACCCAUCGUCACAGCUUCUCUUCAUUCUAGUUCUGCAAAUUCUCCAAAUGGAGCUGAGAUAUCUACAAAUCAAUCUGAGCUAAUAUUUUUGGGAACAGGAACAAGUGAAGGAAUUCCACGAGUGAGCUGUCUCACUAACCCCGUGAAAACGUGCCCCGUGUGCUCAAAAGCUGCUGAACCGGGUAGCAAAAAUAGGAGACUGAACACCAGCAUCCUUAUUCGCCACUCCAGGCCAUCCGGCAAUCGUAACUUUCUUAUAGAUGUUGGCAAGUUCUUCUACCAUAGUGCUAUGAAAU
rnacentral:misc_RNA from 1 species